ACUCUUUGGGGCAAUUCUUGUGUGUUAAUACAUUUCUCAUCUCUGUCCUUCUUUUUCUUCCCACCAUAAAGGGAAGUACCAGGGAGCAGGAGGCUGUAGAAACUCAAGCAUGGCUCUGUGACAGCAUCUCUUAUGCAAUAAGCAAGAAUCUUGUUUGGAUGCAGAACGAGGAUGCCUGGAGCAUCAUCAGCUCCAUAACCAUCAUGCUGACUUUCCUCAAGAAAAUGCACAACGAACCUGCUUUACUUCUGUCAUGCAGCUGAAGAGGGUGACAGCUGCAGUGCAGUCAAUGGCCCUGCAGAAAAGCUCUGAAGCUCUCUGUGUUUUUACCUCAGAGGGAAGGAGAAAGAAUGCUGUUCUUCAAGCAUCUGAAUUAUGCAGCUUAACACAUGAUUAGUUGAUAGCCGAACUAUGGUAACCCUCUGCAUCCUCAUUCCUGCUGUUCAGUUGUUAUCACAAAGCCAAGCACGCAAUUUUGAUCUACAUCUGUAUAUUUUAAAGCUCUUCAAAGAUACACAUAUAUAAUGGCAAUGCUAAGUCAUGGCUUGAAGCAGUGAUAGAGCACUUGGUGGGGAGGCAGGGUCAAGCCAGGGGAGCCCAGGUGCAUGCAAUAGAGACAGGAUGGAGCGAGAAUCCACCCCUUCCCACACCUCAUUUAAGGGUUGGCAGUGGAAGCAAGGAUAUCCUGCUGGAGAUCUUUGUAUGCUUGAGGUCUUUUGAAGGUAAGAACUCCAUAAAGAGAGCAUCGCACAGCAAGGCAGUGGAGAAGUCUGCUCCAAAAUCAAGAGAUGCCUAUUGAACAGCAGCUUUCGAGAAGCCCUAGAGAACCAUUGACCUUAGCCUGGGUGCCUGCGUGUCACCUGCAGCCCAAUGAAACUGCAGAAGAUAAUGUGAGAUCAUGAGGUUUUCCAGGCUGCUUUGCUGUGCUGCAUUAGAUCAGCCUCAAGACUUCUGUAACAGGGUUGAUUAACACAGGACCUUCCAAAAAACACAGCUGGUGACUGAUGCGUAGUUAGGGACUCAGAUGAGUGCUGGGCUGCCUCCAGAGCUGCAGGUUAUCCAUCCAGGAGACACUUGUUCUUCACUCUACAUGGCCUCAGGGCUGAAGGCAGAAAGGGAUCCAAGGGCAGAGGUGCUGGCACUGGGCUGCAGCUGGGCUGGGGUGACCACGGUGUGAUUAGGGGCAAAGCAAGAUGCAUUGGCAUCUUCUAGAGGAGGUUGUUCUGUCUCUUCCUCUCUCUCCUUCAUGUGUCAGUGAAACCAUGUGAAGAACAAAAGAAUAUGCUUUGCUCUUUAAUUACUGGUCAAAUUAAUUGUGGUAACUGAGCAAUAUGUUCAUAUUUGUUUCUUUUUUGACCCCUUGUGGGGUUUUUUUGUUAGUUUUUAGUUAGUUUGGAGAACUGUGUGCACUUGAAGUCCCUUGAGGGAGAAAGAUGGGACAACCUCACGGGGAUGGGGAUCCUGCUCUCUAGUCAGGGCCCCACAGCUGGUGGGAAGAACUCAGCUGCUCUCCUGCUUCAUCACAGCAAUAGGGUGAGCACGAGACUUGCUCCUUCUUCAGCUGCUCUGCUGGAGUCAGAGAUCACCACAGAGAAAUCAAAAAACCCCUUUUUCUGUGAGCCCUGUUCUAAAGAGGCAAGUCAAAGUUUGAGCUGUCAGAACAGCCAGGGCCAGGAGUCACCACCACCUUUUUUCCUCAUUUGAAAGGGACUGCUGGUUUGCCUCCUGAUGUGCAGUGUGUGGUUGGCUGAUUAUUAGAGGCAGUAUUUUCUUGGUGCUAGGUCCCUGAGCUGGCAUCAAGUGCUGAGCUCAGCUGUGUGGUCUUGCAGGCUUCUUGUGACCUUGAGGAAGUUGUUCCAUUUUGCUUUGCCUCCUCAUCCACCCCUCUUCCUUCUUCCCUUCCUUCCUGUCCACAGGGAGGUAAAUUCUUUGAUGAAUGAGUUGUCCUUUUGCAUAAGAUCAAAUUCUCUAAAGAGACUGAGUUACUGUGACUUAAUGAGUUAAUUACGUCACUUGUCUGUCAGCAGUAACGAGCUGUAUGUGCGCUCUUAGCUGGCUCUGCCAGGAAAUACAAGCAUUGGUUUAGAAUGCCAUAAAUAGAAUUACUUCAACUAAGAGUCCUCUGCAUUAGGAACUAGGAAAUAAAGCAGGAGGAACAAAGCUCUCUGAAUUAAAAUGUUUGUAGAAAGCAUAAAGCUUCAUUUUCAGAGCACAACCCUGGUGUCCCAGCACACAUCUCCAUUGCAGAGCCCAGUGAGGCAGUGGUGGGAGCUCAUCUUGCAGCAGGACCUCUCAGGGUAAUACAGCAUGAUGGGCCCUUCAACAAGAGGGGUAAGCCAGUGCCACACCAACGGCACGGGUAGGACUCUGGUGCUGAUGGUGCCAGCCAUCAUCAUGGUGUAUGUAGCUUCCUGCAAGUGUCAGGCAGGUCUCUGGUGAUGGAUGUCACGCUCCAGACCAAACUGUCCACACCAUGCACUUAAACUAGCUAGUUAUUUGACUAAGCUGGCCAAUGCAAGUUUUAAUUGCCUUCUUAGAGCUGAAAAUCUGAGAAAGAGGUAAAGAGCGAAGAAGUAGCUUGAAACUGGAGCCUGUAGUUUGCUGUCUUUUAGCUCUCCUUGUAUAUAAAUUCUAAGGAUAUGUAGACUGUUAUGGCUCAUCUGUAUCCCUCUAAUCGCUAAUGAGCUGCCUUUCGUGUCUUAAAGUUAAAGUCAUAAAAGUAAAGUGUGUUUUCUACUGCAGGUCCAUUUCCAUUCUUUAUACAAAUGUCCUAGUGCCCUUUGUAAUGUAUUUGCUAGAAAUCUUGACAGCAUUAUUUGUUUUGUUUUUCUAUCUAAAUGCAAUGCUGAGUGGAAAAAGGCUCAUUAUCUUCCUAUUUCUGAAGAGGAUUCUCUGCCUUUGAAAGGUGCUCUAUUAACAGCCCUAGAGAUAGGGAGACAUACAGAAGAGGCACAGCACAGUUGGGCAGCUUGAGCCCCCUUCCUUGCUGUUGUGUUGCAAGUGAUGGAUGAGUGGUACUUUGCUUAUCAGUCCUGGACUUGUGGGUUCAGCAACCAGGAGGCUCAUCUGUGCCUCAUCUUUUCCCUUGCUAACAGCAAUGCCAGAUGAAAAGAUAUUUACCAAAUCUAGGGAAAUAACCAUUUUGCUUUUUACAAGUCAGUUUUUUCUUCUCUGACUUUGAGACAGUUGACUUGUAACAAGGUGACCCUGGUAUUCGUAUUUGUAAUAAUCAUAUAGAUCACAGAGGUAUCUGAUGGUUAACAAGCCUGAAUUUCUGCAGUACCAGCCUCUCUCUUAGAUUUCUUGAGGUCUCCCUCCUGUGGUAUUUUUGUGGCUGUCUCUGAUACUUCUUUGCUUUCUCGUAUUCUGCCUUUUAACUCUUCAGUAAGUGCCAAUUCCCCCAGUCACCAUCUGUAGCCUUACUGUGCCCUUGGUGAUGUCCUCUAGGUCCAUUCUGCUGUUCCUAUAUGAAUCAGCCCAAUAUGGCUGUAACAUGGGAGAGCUUUAGUCAACCAAAAGACCAAUGCAAUGAUUUAAAACAGGUUGCUCAAUUUGAUUUCAUUAAGGAUUAACUCAACUCAUGGCGGUAUUUUACCCCAGUCUUACGGCAGUAAUUCCAGUUACCCAAGAUACAGAGGAGAUAGCCCAGAAAUCUGGUGAUAAGCGGAGGCCCGUAAUCUUUGGCAAUAUAUUUCCUUCCUUUUUGAGAAGCUUGUCAUUAUGUACAUCAUCAGCCCUGGAAUUGGGAUGGCUUUCUGAGAAAGAAGGAGGACUUGCAGUUGAUUCUGAAUCCCAAGUUUACUAAUAAAAGCCUUUGUUUCCUGGUGAGAAAAGGAAUCUGCUACCAAAAGAAAAAAAAAGGUGUUAGAAAUGGGAAAGCAGAGAGCAAUAAGUGAAAGGAGGGUAGGAAGGCAAACCAUUCUGAAUAUCUUUCUUCUCUGCUUAAAAACCUGCCAUUCCCCAAGGCAGCAGCAGCUCUGUGCCCAGCUGCAUCCUGGCUGCAUGAUGAAGAUGGCUUUAAGCCUCCAUAAGGUCUACCCAAGGCUGCUGGCAGUUAUCUAUUAGAUGGAGCUGAUAGAUGAUCUCCUCCUUGUGUGUACCAUGUGCACGUGCUACUUUUGUGAUUCUCCACAUCUUCAGAGAGCCUUCAUAAGCACAUCUAGGGGAUCAUUUGAAGUCCUUUGAAAUCGAGAAGGGUCUGUCUUUUUCCUCCAGUGGGCUUUGGCUGUUGGGAUUAUCCCUAUUUCACAGCAGUUUUAUUUUCUACUUAGGAAAUUCCUCAGCAGCUUUUCAGAAGAGGUCAAAGAAAUGGCAUCUAUGCCUCAGGCCUCUUCCUGGGACUGUGAUAAGAUCGUACAUCAGCAUCAGUUCCAAGCUGCAGAUGUUUGAGGACUUAAGAAGUGAAAAGCAAUUUUAAAAGUGAACAAAAACCUCAGGUAACAUAGUCUGGCUCAACAAACCACUCGUUAUGUUCAAAUCUUGUUAAUCUCAUUGGGAAUCUGCUCUGUGUUUUGUUGUAUUUCAUCAAAACAUAAACCUCCUGGCUCCCACUUAACCCAGCAGGGAGGUUUGGAUUUAUUUUCUCUUUCAACACAUUCACCAAGGGUUUUCAGAACUUGCUUAUGAGUUGUAAGUGUGUAGGGUCUUGUGAAUUUAUGGUCACAGGCUCACAUUGCUGAAAUCUCAUUUUUUUGGAGAGUUCUUUCCUACGUAUUAAAAUCAUUGGAUGUA